UUAGUAAUCUUCAGCAUCACCAGCACAUAUGGCAAGUAAAGCACUCUCAUAAUGCCCUGAAGCAAAAUGCUGCAAGAAAAAAAAAGGAACAUUUCUGUAACUGUAUGUUUUCUUAAUUUUCUUGGUGUGUGACAAGGACUAGACUGAUGAUGUGGGGUUUUGUAAAAUACUGCACUGUUUUCCCAAGAAUUCCAGGCUAAGAUUGUUUUUAAUUUCACAUACCUUGGGCUUUGUCUGCUUGGCCACCUAGAGGCAUCCUGCCUCUGAAAGCACAUGUUUACCAUUGCAUCCUGAGCAGCUGUAGAAGGAUCUGCAUAACCUUCCAUCCUUGUUCCCUGGGGGGAAAAAAGAUACACAUAUGGGCUUUUAGAUUGGAUCAGUAUAUUCAGUGGUUGAAUUUGUAACUGUAGAAAAUACCUUCAAGUUGUGGUGUGGUAUCUUUGCUUCCUUCAAGAAGAGGAACUCUGGAAUGACCCAUGGUCUUAUGAGUAGAAGAAAUGGAGGAAGUGGUAACCCAAAGCAGGUUCUACAUGGAGCUAGGUCAGUCUGGGCCCUGCCAGGUGCUUCUGCCUGCUGGGGGGCCUUAGCCUGUGCUCUGCCUCACCUCUCCACCCACCCAUGGGUGCUGUGUGGUGGCAGGAUACUCAAAUGUUUCAUCAAGGCAGGUGAGUGGAGCAUCCAGCCUGAGUAAGGACUUUUGGAAGGAAAACAGGUACUGUACUUUUUUUUGAAUAAGGUAUGCAGAAGUCUCUGAAAAGCCCCAAAUGUGUCUUCAGAGUAUUUCAAAUGUCAUAGGCAGCAAUACACCUCAAAAUCCCAUGGUGUAUUUUCAAAUUAAAACAUUCUGCUCCAGCCUUUUGAAUAUAGUUACGGGAGGAAGGGAACAAGUUAGUACUGAGAAAUCAUUUUUGUAGUUCAAUUCCUUCAUAUGUGCUAAUACUCUGGGAGAACACAUAGUAUAACUACUACUUUGCACUUGUAAGUCACUUUACGCAUUAAGUAGGCUUCUUUCAGCUGGAAGAUCUCCAUAUUUGUUCUUGAGGCUAAUAUAUCAAUUAGGCAUUUUUCUUCUGUGUCUACUCCCUGUGUGGAAAGAAUUAAGUAUGAAAAGUUGUUAGCAGAAACCACAGCUUUUAGAAGACAGCAGUACUGUGCUUAUCAGAAGUAACAAAACAAUUAAAAGCAGUUUCUGUUGGAGCAAAGCAGGGUGUACUUUUUGCAUAGUCUACCUGUUUAAAUAGAAAAUGACUUCAGAUGAAUAAUAGAGCCCUGUAUUUAAAAUAUAUACCUACUUGAUCUGAAUUUCAGCAUGUAGAUUAACGAGGGGAAUGAAGCAAGACUGGUGUUGGCAGAAACAUAAUAGGUAGAAUUUUAGAACUUUAGUAAGAAUUUGAAAGAAAUCAGAUGCAAAGAUUGAGCAUAUAUCCCCAGCAAGCAAGUGUUCAGGCAAUCUGAAGUUGAUAUGAGCACAACUAUUAUGUUUUGCUUUUUUUUUUUUUAAUUUUAUUUUUAUUUUUUUAGAAAUAUUAAUGGACUCUAUGUCUACUGCAGAACUUGUUAUUUAAGGUAAGCAGUAUGGCCAUGUAUGCAGAGCUGCAAAUCACUGUAUUUUCCCACAAAAUUUGAGUUAAUUUUAUAAACUUGAAUUGACACAAGAUAUGCUGCUUCUAAUAUGCACAGGUGUGGUGUUGGUGAGUAUUCUGUGUUUAGGAUAAUGGGGAGAACAUGACAUUGGGCCUGAGCCUGGAGACACACAUGGCCUGUUUUUCACUUUGGCUGUAUAAAUCCAGGUCAAGAUAGAAAGUUAAAAUCAAGAUAAGAAAGUUUAACUUUGAGCUACAUUUAGAAAAAUAUAACUUUAGCAAUCUUGUCAAUAGUUUUAAUAAAAAUCCUGCCUGCAGUGCUACUAAUGAUAUUUCACAAUUCUUUAAUGCCAACCACAAUUAAAAAUGAAGCAGUAGUCCUAAAAAGUGCGUUGGUUUAAGUGUCUGAAGGACAAGAAAAAAAGUUUUCUUUUUUGAGGUGUUUCUCCAAUUAAUUUUGUUUGUGACGUACAUACAUGCUUGCAGGAUCAGGGCUUUUUCCCUGUAUAAAUAUUUCUUCAGUUACUGAGUUUACCAUGGGUAUUAAAUUGGUUGUAUUUAUUACAUGACAAGGGUAUUUAUUAUUGAUGGUGGUUUUAGCAUACUGUUGAAUAAACUUCAUAUAGCACUGUAUUUCUGAUGACCUAGAGUACUAUGUAGUAGUACACUAUCUAGUGUAUUAACUUCCAGCUGUUUAUCAACUGUUUGAAUGUAAAAAAAAAAUAAAAUCAAUUUAACCUGUUCAGUACUAUAAUUAGUGACUGAGACUCUUAAGAAACACUGAAUUUGACAGGUACCUUCAAGGCAUGCCAGAGCUCGUGGGCAUCAUAGGAGGCAGGUGGAUACAUCAAGCCAACCAUGACUUCUUUCAGGUGAUGAGAGAGAUUCUCCUUUAGGUCCGUUAUCAGAUCCUUGAAAAUAAAAAGAAAAGGCAUAGACAGGAUUAUUUCAGUAGUCACACUUGAUUAGGACAACUUUAAAAAUGUAUCUGUGAUUUUCUCUGCAAAUGAAUAAAGAUGAACUAUUGAAGAUUAAUUCUGGCUAAAAUUAAGUAAGAAAGAUAUUCUUUUAAAUAGUACCUGCUUCUUCUAAUAGUAUGGAUGAGAUGACAAUAGAUACACAAGCUAGCAGACCAUAUAGGAUUGUUGAUUUUUUUUGUUCAUUAGAAGACAGAAGAAAAUUCAGGGCUUUAAGUGCUACUACUACUUAAAGGCUUGUGAGCUUGAAUACCACUGCAAAGCAUCUGCAGCUCCCUUGGCACAUUCCCUGUGUGAAUCCGUGGGAGCAAAGCACCUUUGGAAUUCAAAUCCCAUGAACACAGGCAGUUUCUUGUGCCUUUUUCAGUGUUAUCUACUAUGU